GAUGAAGAACGCAGCAAAAUGCGAUAAGUAAUGUGAAUUGCAGAAUUCAGUGAAUCAUCGAAUCUUUGAACGCACAUUGCGCCCGCCAGUAUUCUGGCGGGCAUGCCUGUUCGAGCGUCAUUUCAACCCUCAAGCACAGCUUGGUGUUGGGACUCGCGUUAAUUCGCGUUCCCCAAAUUGAUUGGCGGUCACGUCGAGCUCCCAUAGCGUAGUAGUAAAACCCUCGUUACUGGUAAUCGUCGCGGCCACGCCGUUAAACCCCAACUUCUGAAUGUUGACCUCGGAUCAGGUAGGAAUACCCGCUGAACUUAAGCAUAUCAAUAAGCGGAGGA
rnacentral:misc_RNA from 1 species